rnacentral:rRNA from 1 species
UACGGGGGGGCAAGCGUUGCUCGGAAUCACUGGGCGUAAAGGGUGCGUAGGCGGGUCUUUAAGUCAGGGGUGAAAUCCUGGAGCUCAACUCCAGAACUGCCUUUGAUACUGAAGAUCUCGAGUCCGGGAGAGGUGAGUGGAACUGCGAGUGUAGAGGUGAAAUUCGUAGAUAUUCGCAAGAACACCAGUGGCGAAGGCGGCUCACUGGCCCGGUACUGACGCUGAGGUGCGAAAGCGUGGGGAGCAAACAGGG